rnacentral:rRNA from 1 species
UCAGGCCUAACACAUGCAAGUCGAACGGUAACAGGUCUUCGGAUGCUGACGAGUGGCGAACGGGUGAGUAAUACAUCGGAACGUGCCCAGUAAUGGGGGAUAGCCCGGCGAAAGCCGGAUUAAUACCGCAUACGCCCUGAGGGGGAAAGUGGGGGACCGCAAGGCCUCACGUUAUUGGAGCGGCCGAUGGCUGAUUAGCUAGUUGGUAGGGUAAAGGCCUACCAAGGCGACGAUCAGUAGCUGGUCUGAGAGGACGACCAGCCACACUGGGACUGAGACACGGCCCAGACUCCUACGGGAGGCAGCAGUGGGGAAUUUUGGACAAUGGGGGAAACCCUGAUCCAGCAAUGCCGCGUGUGUGAAGAAGGCCUUCGGGUUGUAAAGCACUUUUGUCAGGAACGAAACGGCGAGGGCUAAUAUC